rnacentral:lncRNA from 12 species
GUCUUUAUAAAAUGGGAUAUGAUAUUGACCUUAGGAGGAAAUAAAAGGUCAUUUGAAUUCUCUCUUCUCUUUCCUCUUUUUCCCUGUCUUCCUUCCUUCUCCCUUCUCUCUCUCUCUCUCCGCCCCCAGCUAUUUUUGUGACAGUUGCAGAGUUAAUGUGUCUAUUUCACCUGUUAUGAAGCUGGUAUACAGAUGCUAUACCCAAAAUAUCUGUACCCUAUCAUGACAGCCUACUUCAGUGGACUUCCACUUGCCAGGAUGUACAUCUUGGAGGUUUAUUUGAAAUGCUUUCUGCCUACAGGAUCAUAUUGACCAGCCAGAGAAUGACACUCCCAGGGCAUAGCAUCAAUCCCACAAGGAAUAAGAGUUGGUAUACAUAUGCUAUAUUAUUUAUCAUAAUUUCUCCAUGUGGUUAAAUUUUAGAUGAUCACUGUGGUUGCUGGCUUCCUGCCUUUUCCUGCCUCACUUCUCCACUACUCUGAGAUUGCUUUCUGCACCUUUCAAAAAAAACCCUUGCACUUGAAUUCUUCCUCGCACAAGAUAACUUGGAAUCUACUUUCAAGACAGCAAAAAGAUGAUCUGGGUUGUGGGAGAUAGAGAUUUCGAGGAUGGUGGGAGAAGCAGAAGUCAGAGGUGGGCAAGCACCAAGUUGCAGCAUCAAAGCUAGCAGCAGAGUCUGUGUCAGACCACUUACCUCAGAGAUGAGCCUCAAGGCAUGUUCUGAUUUAUAAAGUAGAAGAAAUAAAGCUGCUUUUGGAAGAAGGAGAAAUGGGGAA